ensembl:lncRNA
AUUAUUAUAACCAGAGAGGAUCAUCUUCACCAUCAUCAUCAUUCUCACAUUCAUCACCACCAUCAUGGUUAUCUUCUCCAGUCCGACCACAAAUUUAGUUAUCUUCACUGUUGCCAUCAUCAUGAUGGCAGCGAAGGUUUUCUUUAUCAUCAUCAUCAUCAUCACAACUUUUACAGGUUCACUGUCGUAAUCAUCAUCAUCAUAACCGCACAUGGUUGUCUGACAUUAGCAGCUGUCAUCAUCGUAACAAUAAAACACCACACUCUGUUUUCACCAUAGUCUUCAUCAUCAGCAACAUGAACUUAUCUUCAUCAUCAUUACUAUUACUAGAAUGACCAUCAGAGCGAGGGGGGAAAUCUUCCUGAUAAAAAACAGACGAAACCCCCCAAACUAGUUAUUGACCAGCCCGAGCGGGUCUGCUUCCUGCUGCCUGCGUCUUAUUUCUUAUUUCUCCUGGACGCGCUCUCUGUCGUGAGCGCGCCAUCACGUGGGAGGUCCCUUUAAGUUUCCAUCGACUGAGGCCUGAGCGUGUCACAUGGACAUGAUAUAAUGAAAAGGCAGGAACAGAGUGAGUGCGCUGGGCUCUUUGCUAAAGGAGAGGGGAGCAGAAAUGUACGCAGUCAUCUGCCGACAGUGUAGAGGGCCAGCGGGGCCGAGCCCAACCGAACGCUGCCGAUCUCGACCGGGCUGGGCCGAGCCGGACAGACUGCGCCUCAUCGGACGGGACCUCUGUGUUCGCCGUUGCACCUGCCAGCUGUGACACGCACUUUAAAAGAGGAGGAAAAUGUCGCCCGUGCGUGCGCAUAUUUCGCACAGUCCCGGAGCAAAGGAGGAGCGCCCUUCGGUGCUCUGCUGGAAGCGAAUGCAUGCUGCAGACGCCUAUGGGCUUCAAAUCAGCAAACAGCACUGGAAUGACGCACCCCUGGCUAAAAGGCAGAAGCGGAAGAAGAAAAGCAGAGAGGCUGUGAUGUAACUACAGCACUGGACUCAGCGCAGAUGGGAGCAGACGGACGGACGGCAGCGAGGAUGACAUCACUGUUACCCGUGGGAGCCUGGGCCUGUCAUUCUUGGUGUCACUUCCUGGGAGAGAAUAGAAGAGGAAGCCAGAGCGAGAGCCGACAACGGGCGCUCCCCUCACCUCCACAAGGAAGCCUUUUUCCCCCGAGAGCAUAAUGUGUGUCCGCUUGUGUCCCUCGCUCACUCCUGCAUUCAUCCCACAGAGGGCUGGUGCUGGUUCAGAAUUUGUGUAAGCCCUGAUUGUUUUCAUUUUCUUUGGGCUCAAGUCUGAGCCUUUUCCAACAAAUCCUUUGAAGAGCUUAUUAUUUUACAUUUCAACGGUAGUUAAAAUAAGUCACAGUGGUGACUUUAUGGGUACGGAUGCAGUAAGCUGUGCCUCUGCAGGCUUUAUUUUGCUGCCCUGGGUCAGCAGUGUUUGGGGAAAAGCUCCGUUUGGAGGGAUAAAAAAACGUGGAGGCCACAGUGACGUCACCUGAUGGUGUUGGACUCUGGGUCGGGGUGAGGCUCGAUCCCUAGCAUUUUGGCCACUGCCACACUUUGUUUCUAUGCUGGAGUUUUCCCAUAUUGGACAAAAGGGGCGAGUGAUACAUUAAAGGUAAUCCUAGCAAGGUUAGCAAGCUGCAUGUGUAGCUUGCAUGGGUCCAGUGGACGCACAUCAUUUCUAAUUAGUCCUUUCCCUGAAUGGUGUAAGCCUCACAUAUUUGUCAGGUGAUUCUGUUUAACUCCAAAAGGCUCCAACAGGAACAGUCCAGUUUGACUCCAGUCUGCACAGAGCCCUCAGUUAACCCCUCAACAUCCACUCGUGUCACCAGAUCAACGAUUAUUCGUAUUGCUGUUUGUUGAUAUUGUGUUACUGUUGUAAAAUGCAGUGACGUGGCUGAAACUACAGCGAGUCAUCAGAAAGAUCAAUGAGCUUCUCUUCCUGUUGGAGUGUUCACAGACAAGAUAAUGGCUGAAAUAAGUUAGUAAGCUCUAUUUAAAUGCCAGCUCGUCAUGAACUUUGAUUUUCUUUUUUAAUCAUGAGGCUUUGUGAUGAUUCAUGUCUGUGUUAAGGUGCUAGCGUAGCUGAUUCAGAGCUGCUAAUGAGUAGAUGUGUUGUUCUACUUGUUUGUCUUCAUCCAACUGAGCAACUCAAACGUAACCAGCUUAGUGCAUACACAGCAUCUUUGUACUAUCCAUCACAUCUACUGUGCAGGCAUACAAAGCAGACACACAUCCUGCUACCUGAUUUGUUUUACACAAAUCCUGAACUCAAAAUGAGCAGGACGCGCUGUGGUUUAGGCGCUGGCAGGCUCUGGUGAGUCUGUGUUUAAAGGCAAAGAAAGGAUGGAAAGAUGACUGCAAUGUAAAAAUGAAAUUAAAGAUGUCCAGGUUUCGGUCCCCGGGACAAGUCACAGCUUUGUUGGAUUGUUUUGUACCGCCGCUGUUUCAUGAAAUGUAUUCCUGGCUGCCCUACAGUGGAUUUGCUUCUGACCUUUGACCUCUCUAACCAACACAAGUGUAUCAAAGCUGAGCCCUCCCUUUGAGGACCCGCAUGGACGUUAUAGAUGUAAUGUCGCCCUCUUGUGUGUGAAUAUAAAAUUGCAGGAUUAAUAUACGAUGUCUUUACAAAACACUGUCUGGUGAAUUUCAGCACUUCUCAGUGUGAGAUCGUAACAUCGGAUGUGGGCAGCUGUUAGAUGGCUCCGCCCUCCAAAGCCUCCACCUCUCUGCAGCACCGACAGCGUAAAGACUUUGUAACCUGGAGGCUCCGAUCGUGGGACACACCUCUGAUCAUCUGACACCCAUGUUUCAAACACCUGGGAGGGCCGCUGGGACAAUGCAUGUACUGUUAGAUUUGUUGUCAUGACGACCUUGCUGGUUAUGUAAGCACUGGGCUCUGGUUCCCACAAACAGUGGUGCACGCAGGUCUUUGUGCUGUGACACUAGAAACCACACACACAGUCACAGUUUGUACAUUCCUCCAGCUGCUCACAUGUCACCCUGCAGCGACUGCAACGAGACAUUUAACCCUCAGAGAUGAUCCAAACCUUAACCCUGUGCUAUCAGCAUGUGUGCUUAAGGUGAGGGCUGUGGCCGACUCGGGGCUGAUACUUUGUUGCAGUUUAACAUCAAGAAUUUGGGUGGCACAGUUUCUUUCAGUAAUUCAGUAAAUUUGUUUCAGUUCCCACCAAAACUGAAGUAAGCUUGCUGGUUUUCUUGGAUUUUUGCUGAUUUCUUGAGCUUGGCCACAAUUUCUCUGGUUGGCUGUUAGUUUCACAACUCCUCCAGUCUGCAUGUUGAGAUGUCAUGUGUGCCACAGGCACAGUACUUUGAGUAAUAAGUGCUAUAGUGAUGCAGUUGGUUAAACUAGCAGGUUCCUCUCUGUAACCUUGAUUGAAUCCAAAGAUUUCGUGACCCUAAAGCAGACUCACAUUUACCAGCUUCUCUGUUGCUCAGGUGCUUCUUCACAUGCUCUGUCUCUCUGGCAACAGCCUGGAAAUGCUGCUGCUCUGGACCAACAACAAUAAAUGUGUGUGUAGAGGUACCCAUGUGUCCGUCUGUACUGAUGGAGCUGAUGUGCCACAUAGAUUUGGCUCUGUAAAGUUAAAUGACGUUGAGCAUACUCAUGUACAUAUCCAUCCAUUCACACUGGUUUUCCUCUCUUACGUCAUGUGGUUCUGUUUUUCUUCUUCCCCUCUGUGUCUGUGGAAGGUGGCAGGUCGUGAGCGUAGACUGACGUGGACUAGAGUGAGUGCUCGUCAUUAUGCUUGUGAUGUCUGAGAGAGCACAAACGCCGUUCACAGUAGCCUCUAUGCAUUCCUCCUGUGGCAGGCGUCCCUGUCUUAUGCUGUCAGCCUCACUUUUUAUGUGACGUCUGUUCUGUUUGAAUUCAUCUUCAUUGCUGGAAGCAAGUAUUCAGGUGCCAGCUGCUCAUGAUGCUGGACUGGCAUAGCAACAGCAGCAAAAAGAAGAGCUGUCACACAGUGCACAGAGCGCAGCAGGGCUGAGAUCACCGUGAUGAGCAGGUGUGUGUGUGUGUGUGUGUAUUAUAAUAGUGGUUUUUAGUAGGCUGGACUAACUGGUUUGUAUUUCCUUGCUGGAAUAAUAGCUGACCCUGGUUUGGCCUUUGGGAGCUAACUUGUGUUUAUCUGGAUGGACCUCGCAGGUGUGACACUGUCAUACCGCAGACUGUAUGCCGUGUCCACCAUGCAUGCAUGUCGAUGCAUGCAUGCAUGCAGUCACUCUCUCUCUCUUUCCUCUUUUCUCUCUUCUUCUCUCUCUGCAGGGCAAAGCCUGCCUCCUCUCUACGACUCACAUUAGACAAGUUGUCCAAAAAUGGUCCAACAGAGAAAAAGUGAAGGUUGAAGGAGAGAGAUCACAGAAAGUCGAUGACAAGCAGCUACAGGGUCACCUAGGCAACUGGAGCCUGGAAUGUCCGCUAGCAACCAAUCGUCAGCUUCAAAGCAAUGCACGACAGCUCGAUGACUUCCUGUGUGGAUGAAAAGUGUUAUAGCUCAUGUUCACAUGCAGUGAAUGCUGAUUCUGAUGGUUGUUUUAAAGUUUGAGGGGUUUUCCAAGUGAAUGUUUGCAGGUAUCCACACAGACUUCAGACAGGCCUGCCUUUAAGUCCUAAAUUUUAAAAUAGUAGACAACUUUCUGUGCUAGAGGUAUCAUAUAUGCAAUGAUAGCAAUAAUAUUUUAAAAUUUAAUAAUACAAAUAAAAAGCUGGUAGUUGUUCUUUUUGUACAUGGUUAUAGGAUUUUCAGUGUAGUUCCCUUGCUUCUGUAGAUUUGAUAAUGAUACCAUUACAUUUCCUUUGUUUUUGCUCAUAGUUGUGGAGUGAAAAUGUAAUAAUGUGACAGUAAAUAUGGAAU